UGCCCUUCACCACGGAAUAAUCCAGUGAAAAUUGGUCUAAUACCGUAUGAGGUCAUACGAUGGCAUCAGAAUAUGACGAAAGGUUUAGCGGUGAAGGAUGGGGAUGCGUCUGAUUAGCUUGUUGGUGAGGUAACGGCUCACCAAGGCGACGAUCAGUAGGGGUUCUGAGAGGAAGGUCCCCCACAUUGGAACUGAGACACGGUCCAAACUCCUACGGGAGGCAGCAGUGAGGAAUAUUGUCAAUGGGCGAGAGCCUGAACCAGCCAAGUAGCGUGCAGGACGACGGCCCUAUGGGUUGUAAACUGCUUUUAUAUGGGGAUAAAGUGAGUUACGUGUAGCUUAUUGCAGGUACCAUAUGAAUAAGGACCGGCUAAUCCCGUGCCAGCAGCCGCGGUAAUACGGAAGGUCCAGGCGUUAUCCGGAUUUAUUGGGUUUAAAGGGAGCGUAGGCCGCCCCUUAAGCGUGUUGUGAAAUGCCGCGGCUCAACCGUGGCACUGCAGCGCGAACUGGGGGGCUUGAGUGCACGCAACGCAGGCGGAAUUCGUGGUGUAGCGGUGAAAUGCUUAGAUAUCACGAAGAACUCCGAUUGCGAAGGCAGCUUGCGGGAGUGCGACUGACGCUGAAGCUCGAAGGUGCGGGUAUCGAACAGGAUUAGAUACCCUGGUAGUCCGCACAGUAAACGAUGGAUGCCCGCUGUGUGCCCUAGAGGUACGCGGCCAAG
rnacentral:rRNA from 1 species